rnacentral:rRNA from 1 species
AGCAGUCGCCACGGUAAUACGAAGGGGGCUAGCGUUGUUCGGAUUUACUGGGCGUAAAGCGCACGUAGGCGGACUUUUAAGUCAGGGGUGAAGUCCCGGGGCUCAACCCCGGAACUGCCUUUGAUACUGGGAGUCUUGAGUUCGAGAGAGGUGAGUGGAACUGCAGUGUAGAGGUGAAAUUCAUAGAUAUUCGCAGGAACACCAGUGGCGAAGGCGGCUCACUGGCUCGAUACUGACGCUGAGGUGCGAAGCGUGGGGAGCAAACAGGAUUAGAUACCCCCGUAGUCCCUGUCUCUUAUACAC